UGUUUAUAGGACCAUGGAAGGUUCUAUCUUAUAUCCAAAGUAAUUGAAAGGCGCCAUGAAUAUGUCAAACAAAUCAAACUUUGAGGGCAUGUUUGUAAAAGCAUACAAACCUGAAAAUUUUAUUGUUAAAGCUAUAUUCUAUGGGAAGCUUGUGGAAUGAUCACAAGUCCAGGUGUCAAUAUGUAAAUAUAAUCACAAUUCCGCCUUAUCGAUUCCAAAUCUCAACAAUACUUUACGUUUUGGGGACGACGUCGAAGAGAGGGAGCAAAAUGUCAACCGGAGAAGAGAAGGGCCCAAAGCUUCUGCGGCUGUUAUAUCUGGUCGGCGCCGGAAUCCUCUGUACGGCUGCGUUCAACAAGUGGAGAGGUAUCAGAAAAUCUGCGUUGCGACAUCAACGGCACCGGCGAUUGUUGGAGGAGCCAUCUAAAGCCGUUGACUGAUUAAUCGCACUCCAUGUUAGGGCUUCGUAUCGAUCCUAUCGGCGUCAGGAAACGAUUUCUUCUCUAAUCAACAAUUUUCUUAUUUCGUUUGCAUUUGGGUUUUGGAUUGAAUCGUUUCGUGUUGGUUUUUGUGUUGGUCGGAUCUUGAAUAAUACACCAAAAAUGUCAAUAUUUUGAUUC